AAAUUUGUAUUUGACAAAGUUGUGUUCUUAUUAAAUGACAUAACUUAAUUAUUUAAGUAUUAUUUGGUGGUUUUCCGUUUCAUACACGAAAUUAAGUUCCUACGCUUAACAAAAGAUGCACUGUUUCAAACAUUUAGUAACUUGUUUGUUUUUCAUUCAACUGUGUAUAGAGUUUAGAGGGGACUUUAGUUCCUUGUUUAGUCUUUUAUCAAAUGUAUUCUUGCGAUUAAGGUUGUAUACAGCUAUAUAGGUACAAUAUAUAGAAUAAAUAUAAUUUGUGUCAUUAAUCAUGUUAGUGUACACAAAAAUGACAUGGAA